CUGCUAUACAUGCAAGUCGAACGAACUCUGGGUAUUGAUUGGUGCUUGCAUCAUGAUUUACAUUUGAGUGAGUGGCGAACUGGUGAGUAACACGUGGGAAACCUGCCCAGAAGCGGGGGAUAACACCUGGAAACAGAUGCUAAUACCGCAUAACAACUUGGACCGCAUGGUCCGAGUUUGAAAGAUGGCUUCGGCUAUCACUUUUGGAUGGUCCCGCGGCGUAUUAGCUAGAUGGUGGGGUAACGGCUCACCAUGGCAAUGAUACGUAGCCGACCUGAGAGGGUAAUCGGCCACAUUGGGACUGAGACACGGCCCAAACUCCUACGGGAGGCAGCAGUAGGGAAUCUUCCACAAUGGACGAAAGUCUGAUGGAGCAACGCCGCGUGAGUGAAGAAGGGUUUCGGCUCGUAAAACUCUGUUGUUAAAGAAGAACAUAUCUGAGAGUAACUGUUCAGGUAUUGACGGUAUUUAACCAGAAAGCCACGGCUAACUACGUGCCAGCAGCCGCGGUAAUACGUAGGUGGCAAGCGUUGUCCGGAUUUAUUGGGCGUAAAGCGAGCGCAGGCGGUUUUUUAAGUCUGAUGUGAAAGCCUUCGGCUCAACCGAAGAAGUGCAUCGGAAACUGGGAAACUUGAGUGCAGAAGAGGACAGUGGAACUCCAUGUGUAGCGGUGAAAUGCGUAGAUAUAUGGAAGAACACCAGUGGCGAAGGCGGCUGUCUGGUCUGUAACUGACGCUGAGGCUCGAAAGUAUGGGUAGCAAACAGGAUUAGAUACCCUGGUAGUCCAUACCGUAAACGAUGAAUGCUAAGUGUUGGAGGGUUUCCGCCCUUCAGUGCUGCAGCUAACGCAUUAAGCAUUCCGCCUGGGGAGUACGGCCGCAAGGCUGAAACUCAAAGGAAUUGACGGGGGCCCGCACAAGCGGUGGAGCAUGUGGUUUAAUUCGAAGCUACGCGAAGAACCUUACCAGGUCUUGACAUACUAUGCAAAUCUAAGAGAUUAGACGUUCCCUUCGGGGACAUGGAUACAGGUGGUGCAUGGUUGUCGUCAGCUCGUGUCGUGAGAUGUUGGGUUA
rnacentral:rRNA from 1 species